CGGACGGGUGAGUAAUGCCUAGGAAUCUGCCUGGUAGUGGGGGACAACGUUUCGAGAGGAACGCUAAUACCGCAUACGUCCUACGGGAGAAAGCAGGGACCUUCGGGCCUUGCGCUAUCAGAUGAGCCUAGGUCGGAUUAGCUAGUUGGUGAGGUAAUGGCUCACCAAGGCGACGAUCCGUAACUGGUCUGAGAGGAUGAUCAGUCACACUGGAACUGAGACACGGUCCAGACUCCUACGGGAGGCAGCAGGC
rnacentral:rRNA from 1 species